UAGUCUUUGUCGGAAACCAUAUGAUAAUUACUUUUGUAUCCUUAGACAUAGAGGAGACAUACUAUUUGAGAGAGUAAUGAUUAUAGUUUUUUUGAAUUUUGAAUAUUUCCGAAGAGUAUAGGCAAACAUUAUAAUUAGAAAUUAUAAAUAUAUCUUGCUAUUAUACCCAUUAAAAACGCUGGAAAACCCUAGCGCCGUUUGAGGAAGAAGUUUUUUGGUGGCUCUCGUCAAUCCUGCGAAUCUGAAUCCGUUUCAUCUCCAAUCAAGUGGUAGUCGACUCAUCUGCAAAGUGGAGACCUGGGUUUUUGCUUUUCUCUCUCUGUCUUCGUCUUCUUCUUCCCAUAUAUACUUGUCUAAGUAUCCUACAUAGGUGAGAUAUGGGAAUUUCCUUUAAGGGUUGUAGAUGACGAAUCCAGGCUUGUUGAUGUGUCUACAACCGAAGCCUCCAUAACCUCCUCUCUUAGGGCAACCACCACCACCACCAGAUCCUUCACCUCCAUUUAAUCAUUCGUAUCCACCAUCGCCUCCUCUCUCACGGCAACCACCACCACCAGAUCUGUAACACCACCGCCUCCUCCGUAUUCACCACCACCAGAUCUGUAAUACCAUCACUUCCUCUGUAUUCAUCACCACCAGAUCUGUAACACCACUGCUUUCUCCGUAACACCACCGCCGUUUCCUUUUUGUGUUUUCUUGUUUUUUUCAAAAUUUCAUGUGUUUUGGAAGUUGUUUUAUCACUUGAUAUACCACGGUACUUUUACGUAUACAUGUAUUUUUUCCCUAAAACAUUGUAUUUUUCAACGUUUCUUUUAAAUGAUACAUGUUUUUUACUUAUA